rnacentral:rRNA from 1 species
GACGAACGCUGGCGGCGUGCUUAACACAUGCAAGUCGAACGGAAAGGCCUUCUUUCCCUUGUGGUUUGCGGGUACUCGAGUGGCUAACGGGUGAGUAACACGUGAUUGAUCUGCCCCUAACUUUGGUAUAAUCCUUGUAAACUGGGUCUAAUUCCCUAUAGGACUGCAGAGUGGUGCCUGUUUUUGAAUACGAUUUUCUAUUGGUUGGUGAUGAGGUCGCGGCCUAUCAGCUUGGUGGUGGGGUAAUGGCCUACCAAGGCGGCGAAGGGUAGCCGGGCUGAGAGGGGGGACGGAGAGAGUGGGACUGAGAAACGGCACAGAGACAGAGGGGAGGCAGCAGUGGGGAAUAUGGGAGAAGGAGAGGAAGCAAGAGGCAGAGACGCGGCGUGGGGGAUGAGGGUGGUGGGGGAGUAAACUCCUGUAGAACGCGAGGAAGCCAAGUGGUUGGAAGGGUGGUGACGGUAGUGGGAGAAGAAGCACCGGCUAACUACGUG